GCCGCUGUGGUGAAAUAGGCAGACACGAGGGACUUAAAAUCCCUUGGUAGAAAUACCAUACCGGUUCAAGUCCGGUUAGCGGCACCA
rnacentral:tRNA from 1 species